rnacentral:rRNA from 1 species
CCUACGGGAGGCUGCAGUGGGGAAUCUUGCGCAAUGCGCGAAAGCGUGACGCAGCAACGCCGCGUGAGGGAAGAAGGCCUUCGGGUUGUAAACCUCUUUCAGGAGGGACGAAGCUGUGGGGGCGAAUAGCCUCCCGCAGUGACGGUACCUCCAGAAGAAGCCCCGGCUAACUACGUGCCAGCAGCCGCGGUAAUACGUAGGGGGCUAGCGUUGUCCGGAAUCAUUGGGCGUAAAGCGCGCGUAGGCGGCCCGGUAAGUCCGCUCUGAAAGUCAGAGGCUCAACCUCUGGAGGCGAGUGGAUACUGUCGGGCUAGAGUCCGGAAGAGGCGAGUGGAAUUCCUGGUGUAGCGGUGGAAUGCGCAGAUAUCAGGAGGAACACCCAUGGCGAAGGCAGCUCGCUGGGACGGUACUGACGCUGAGGUGCGAAAGCGUGGGGAGCG